GCUUUAUUGAAGUCCCUGGGUGGCCACCAUUUCGGUACUUUUUUACACGUGGCCUUGGCCAUCUUAAUUCCCGAACAGCGGUGUUUUGCCUUCGAGUGUCUGGAACUAAAAUCAGACACUCGAGUAGGCGAACACCGCUGAAACCUCCAGACUACCAGAAAUCUGUGCCAAAACUACCGGACGCCCCGCCGUUCGGUAGAAAGACUACUUAACACAUGGGGAUUCUAGCGAACACGAGAUAUGCACGGAUGGCAAGCCUUUCGGGACUUUUUACCCACGAACAAGAAGACUUUAAAGUGCCAUAUCCCCUGAACCCCUGAAUUGAAUGAGAUGAUUUUUAAAUAUGUUGUUCCCCCAGAAUAGGGCUAUAUUUAUUUGGGGUACACAGAUAUUUGGGGUACAUCCAAAACUUGGGGAAAAAUUUAACUUUGUUAAUUGUGUUACAGGCUUAUCUGAGGGGAGGAGAUGUGUGGGAUGUACCUUAUGUUUUAUUGGUUGUUGUGUUAAUUAUGUGGGUGUCUCCCUUGCAUGGGCAGCAUCAUAUAAAAGGAGAGUACCUGCCAUUAAAAUUCAGUUCUUCUUGACCCUUCAAAACGUGGCC